CCUACGGGAGGCAGCAGUGAGGAAUAUUGGUCAAUGGCCGGAAGGCUGAACCAGCCAAGCCGCGUGAAGGACGAAGGUGCCAAGCAUUGUAAACUUCUUUUGUCAAGGGACAAAAUCAGGCUCGAGAGCCUGACCGAGGGUACUUGAAGAAAAAGCAUCGGCUAACUCCGUGCCAGCAGCCGCGGUAAUAAGGAGGAUGCGAGCGUUAUCCGGAUGUAGUGGGUUUAAAUGGUGCGUAGGCGGGCUGUUAAGUCAGCGGUAAAAGCCCGGGGCUCAACCCCGGCGAGCCGUUGAAACUGGCUGUCUUGAGAUGUCGAGAGGUAUGCGGAAUGCGCAGUGUAGCGGUGAAAUGCAUAGAUAUCACGCAGAACUCCGAUUGCGAAGGCAGCUUACUAAGCCAUAACUGACACUGAAGCACGAAAGCGUGGGGAUCAAACAGGAUUAGAUACCCUUGUAGUC
rnacentral:rRNA from 1 species